UACAGAGGUCUCAAGCGUUUGUUCGGAUUCAUUGGGCGUAAAGCGCACGUAGGCGGACCAUCAAGUCGGAUGUGAAAUCCCUCGGCUUAACCGAGGACGUGCAUUCGAAACUGAUGGCCUUGAGUACGAAAAGAGGAUCGCGGAAUUCCCGGUGUAGAGGUGAAAUUCGUAGAUAUCGGGAGGAACACCAGUGGCGAAGGCGGCGAUCUGGGUCGAUACUGACGCUGAGGUGCGAAAAC
rnacentral:rRNA from 1 species